GACGAACGCUGGCGGCGUGCCUAAUACAUGCAAGUAGAACGCUGAAGGAGGAGCUUGCUCUUCUGGAUGAGUUGCGAACGGGUGAGUAACGCGUAGGUAACCUGCCUGGUAGCGGGGGAUAACUAUUGGAAACGAUAGCUAAUACCGCAUAACAGUAGAUGUUGCAUGACAUUUACUUAAAAGGUGCAAUUGCAUCACUACCAGAUGGACCUGCGUUGUAUUAGCUUGUUGGUGGGGUAACGGCUCACCAAGGCGACGAUACAUAGCCGACCUGAGAGGGUGAUCGGCCACACUGGGACUGAGACACGGCCCAGACUCCUACGGGAGGCAGCAGUAGGGAAUCUUCGGCAAUGGACGGAAGUCUGACCGAGCAACGCCGCGUGAGUGAAGAAGGUUUUCGGAUCGUAAAGCUCUGUUGUAAGAGAAGAACGAGUGUGAGAGUGGAAAGUUCACACUGUGACGGUAUCUUACCAGAAAGGGACGGCUAACUACGUG
rnacentral:rRNA from 1 species